rnacentral:rRNA from 1 species
GACGAACGCUGGCGGCGUGCUUAACACAUGCAAGUCGAACGGAAAGGCCCUGCUUUUGUGGGGUGCCCGAGUGGCGAACGGGUGAGUAACACGUGAGUAACCUGCCCUUGACUUUGGGAUAACUUCAGGAAACUGGGGCUAAUACAGGAUAGGAGCUCCUGCUGCAUGGUGGGGGUCGGAAAGUUUCGGAGGAUGGGGCUGGACUCCGGGCUUAUCAGCUGGUUGGUGGGGUAGUGGCUUACCAAGGCAUGGGCUGGUAGCCGGCCUGGGAGGGUGACCGGCCACAUUGGGACUGAGAUACGGCCCAGACUCGUACGGGAGGCAGCAGUGGGGAAUAUUGCACAAUGGGCGGAAGCCUGAUGCAGCGACGCCGCGUGCGGGAUGACGGCCUUCGGGUUGUAAACCGCUUUCGCCUGUGACGAAGCGUGAGUGACGGUAAUGGGUAAAGAAGCACCGGCUAACUACGUG